rnacentral:tmRNA from 1 species
GGGGAUGACAGGUUUCGAUAGAUGGAUCAGGUAUCUCUUAUCUGCGUGCCGGGGUGUCGGGCACUCGUUAACCGCUCGGCAAUCGAUACGUGCCAACGUAUUUUCACGGGCUAAGGCUGCGCUCGCUCGCGCGUUCGCGCCGGUAGCCUACCCUGCUCUCGCUUAAUCGCUUGAGCCAUCGCCCCUUGGAUACUCGAUACAAGACCGGCGGUGUCAACCUAUCGAGCGUAGGCCUGCCUGAUUGCCUGAAUCAGCAGGCCGAACCGGCCUCAGGCUUGUUUGAAACACUCUUGCCGCUUCCCCAUGUUUCAAAGACCGCACCGAAACGGCUACGCAUGUAGAGGGUAACGGUACCCCAUUUAGACCCGGGUUCGAUUCCCGGCAUCUCCACCA